rnacentral:lncRNA from 1 species
AAUUCCCAAGCCUCUCCCUCUCUUCUCUCUCUCUAAACCUGAGGAACCCCCGCCAUCUUUCUCUCCUCUCGGCCUCACUCACAAAGACUUAUCUACCCCUCUCUCUCCAGAAGCAGAUCGACCACCUCUCCCUCUCUAGAAGCAGAUCGACCACCUCUCUCUCUCUAAAAUCAGAUUAUCAACAAAAAGAGCAGAUCGACCACCUAUCCCUAUGUAAAAUCGAAUUACGAACAAAAGGUAUGCAUUUUUUGUUUGGUUUUCGUUUUCUAGGGUUUCUUAUCUAUAUUAUGUCUGUUAAGAAUUUAAUCCAUGCACAGAUAGUUGUUUUACCCUUUUUUGGGUGCGUGAUUGUUCUCUGAUAAAGAGGUGAAAGAUUGUCUUUGGAUGAUUAUGUGAGCUGAUUUUCUCAGCUUUAAUAUUGUUAGGAUUCUUAAUAUAAGCUUUUUUUUUUUUGUCUGCUCUUUUGGGUUUUUGUUUCCAUUCUUUAGAUAGAUAUUAAAAAAUGAGCGUUUUAUUUAUUUUUUAUUGUUUUUUCAAGGCUUUAUUUAUUGUUUUUCCAAGGGUUUUAUGUUGGUUUUCUUAACCUUCCCAUCUCUUUUGUUGGAGCUUUUUUUUAAUGAUCCAUCGGAUUUAUAUGGUUUGGUCUGUUCGUUCUAUCUAAUUUUGCAUAAUAUCCACUGUGAUUUCGCCACAUUUAAUAUGAUCUGCCGCAAGGGUAAGAGAUAUUAUCACAGUGUAAUUAUUUUAGAGAGAUCAGCCCUAUUUAUUUGGACAAGAAAGGAAACGUGUGGUUGGACCACUUUGAAAUCCCAAUCUCAAUCACUUGGAAAUAUGAAAAUCCACCUUGUUCACUUGCUGGACUACUUUUGAGUAAUGUGGGUUGUUAUUCAUUCUAUAUUGUUGUUAUUGUUUUUUGCAUGAAGAUUCUGUUUUGUCUAGUUUUAUGGUUUAUGGAUUACAAGGGAAAACUUUAUUUGGGCCUCAAGAUUUUUACUCCCUUACAUUAUAGAAGCUGUGAAAGAAUUCAGGAUAUAUCAGUUUAUAAUUCGGAAUGAAAUUGAGUCCAAGGUAGUGAGUGGUUAAACAUUUGAAUUUUGGGUUAUCCAUUACUCUUCAUUGUUUGGUGACUGUGAUUUUUGAAAUCUUUUCUUACUUCCUUCUAUUUCUUGUUUCCUUGUGUAUGUGACGACCUUAUUACACUGCAAUGCUAAGCUUUGAAACAAUUUUAUAUUGUUCUUUAGAUAAAAUGGUGAAUAUCAAAGGUCGCAUUUUCUGAUUAAUAUUAGUGCUCGUAUCUUGUUUGAACCUUUGAUGUAAAUGUACUUAGAGAGAAAAUGUUCGUAGCAAAUUAGAACAUUUGUUAUUGAGCAUGCCAACUAUCCUAAUGACAAGAAGAGAGAAAAACAAUAUCAAACAUUAAUCUUCUAUUCCUAAUUAGAUAACUAAUAAUACCCCACAAGAGAAGUUUAUAUUGCUGCCAUAGAGAGGUUCAUAAUUCGGGCUUGUGUGAGGAAAUCAAGCGUCACUGAUCAAAUGUUUUAAUUCUCUAGAUUAUCCCUUUUAGUGGAUAGAAAGUCUGCGACCUUUGUCUCUUCACUUUAAAAAGUGCUUCCAUAUUCCCUAUACAAUGUGAAAAUGUAGAUGAGCUUCAUGGGAUUUCCCAAUUAGGGAACAAGUGGCUUUGGUCAAGUGGACUGCAUAUUCGAAUUGUGGUAUAUUUCAGUAGGAAAGAUUCCAUAAUGCAUGCUCAGUUGAUAAUUUUCAUGUCCAGCAUUUUACUUAAACAUACUGAAUUAUUCCCCCUUUUUUUUUGAGAAUGUUAACUUUGGAUUAAAAAAAGAUAAUUACAUGAAGAAAACGUUAUAUACGGCAUCCCACAUAGCGGGUGCUCAAAAUACAGAUAAAUAGAACAGAGAGAGCAGAAGCUCAGGGGGAGAGGAAAAAUGGAAGCAACCCCACAUAUCGGGUGCUCAACAUAAGAGAAAUAGACAAGAGAGAGCACAUAAGCUCAGGGGGGAGAGAGUAAGUCCAAAAAAGGAGCGACCUCAAAAGAUACAGAGGUUGUGGGUGAUAGUAGCAAAAUACAUAAAGGAAGAGCUGCUGAGGGAGUCUUCAAGCUGAUCUGGUGGGAUUUGAAAUAGCCAUCUGAUGAAUGUUCAUUGCUAAAUCAUAAGAAAGUAUAGAAUGCGGGAAGUUAGUAAAUUGAGCCUCUCCUUUACAAUUUAAUCACAUGUGGCAUUUUUCCAUGAUAUGCCAACCAUGAAUACCAUAUGGUUCUUGGGUGUGCAUGACUUUCCUGUGUGCUAAUCUUUGUUAUUGGUGUUGCAUUGGUAGAUCAUCAUUUGUGUAUGGGCUUAUGUUAGUUGCUUAUUGAGGGUUUCCUUUACUGUUAUUAAUGCUUAUAUUUCUCUGCUCGUAUUUUGUCAUGGCAAUGGUGGACACAUUGUUAGUGAUUCUUUGAGUUGCUUGUGCUGAUUCAUUUAUAAAAUCCCAAAUCGAUCUCUGUGUGGUUGUGUGUGUGUGUGUGUGUGUGCUUCUGCCUGUUUUUCCUUUUCUCUAGGCGGUGGAGAAGCUGCUGAUUAUAGAAAUUUAUUUUAUAAGUUGAAUUAUUAAAAUUAACAAGUGUGGUCCUCUUUCUCUCAG